GCUCUCCGUAGCUUAGUUGGGACAACACCCGACUAUGGUGCGGUAGAACUCGGGUUCGAACCCCGGUGGAAGGCA